CUUCGGACUUAGUGGCGCACGGGUGCGUAACACGUAUGCAACCUACCUUACAUUGGGGGAUAGCCUUUCGAAAGGGAGAUUAAUACCGCAUAAGACAGUAGUCUGGCAUCAGACAGCUGUUAAAGAUUUAUCGAUGUAAGCUGGGCAUGCGACCAAUUAGUUAGUUGGCGAGGUAAUGGCUCACCAAGACUAUGAUUGGUAGGGGAACUGAGAGGUCAAUCCCCCACACUGGCACUGAGAUACGGGCCAGACUCCUACGGGAGGCAGCAGUAGGGAAUAUUGGGCAAUGGACGCAAGUCUGACCCAGCCAUGCCGCGUGCAGGAAGAAGGCGUUAUGCGUUGUAAACUGCUUUUAUACAGGAAGAAACGACUCUUGCGAGAGGCAUUGACGGUACUGUAUGAAUAAGCACCGGCUAACUCCGUGCCAGCAGCCGCGGUAAUACGGAGGGUGCAAGCGUUGUCCGGAUUUAUUGGGUUUAAAGGGUGCGCAGGUGGUUUAUUAAGUCAGUGGUGAAAGACGGUCGCUCAACGAUUGCAGUGCCAUUGAAACUGGUAGACUUGAGUAAAGUAGAGGUGGGCGGAAUUGAUAGUGUAGCGGUGAAAUGCAUAGAUAUUAUCAAGAACUCCAAUUGCGUAGGCAGCUCACUUGGCUUUUACUGACACUCAUGCACGAAAGUGUGGGUAUCAAACAGGAUUAGAUACCCUGGUAGUCC
rnacentral:rRNA from 1 species